rnacentral:lncRNA from 1 species
AGACCUAUCAGAAUUACACCAAACUUCUCAACAGAGACCCUAAAAGCCAGAACAGCUUGGACAGAGGUCACACAGACCCUAAGAGUCCACAGAUGCCAGCCCAGGUUACUAUACCCUGCCAAACUCUCAAUCAUCAUAGAUGGAGAAACCAAAAUAUUCCAUGACAAAACCAAAUUUAAACAAGAUCUAUCUACAAAUCCAGCCCUACAGAGGAUUCUAAAAGGAAAAUUCCAACACAAGGAGGGCAUCUACACCAAAGAAAAAACAAGAAAUUAAUCAUCUUACAACAAAACCAAAAGUCUCAUAUAUAUAAUGCCACCUACAGCAACAAACAUAACAGGAACAUCUCUUUUAAUAUCUCUCUAUCAUCUAUCUUUUAAUAUCUCUCAAUAUCAAUGGACUCAAUUCCCCAAUAAAAAGACAUAAGCUAACAGACUGGAAAUGCAAGCAGAAUCCAACAUACAAGAAACAUACCUCAAUGACAAAGACAGACACUACCUCAUAGUAAAAGACUGGAAAAAAGUCUUCCAAGCAAAUGGUCCCAAGAAACAAGUGGGAGUUGCCAUUCUAACAUCCAAUAAAAUAGACUUUCAACCAAAAGUUAUUAAGUGAGAUGGGGAAGGACACUUCAUAUUUCAUCAAAGAGAUGUCUCCAAGAGAAAGUCUCAGUUCUGAAUAUCUAUGUCCCAAAUGCAAGGGCACCCAUAUUUGUAAAAGAAGUAUUGCUAAAGCUUAUAAAUUGAACCCUGUGGAAUAAUAGUGGGAGACUUCAACACCCCACUCUCACUAAUAGUCAGUUCAUUGAAAUAGAAACUAAACAGAGACAUAGUGGAACUAAUAGAGGUUAUGAACCAAAUAGAUUUAACAGAUAUAUAUUGAACAUUUCACCAUAAAACAAAAGAAUAUACCUUCUUCUCAGCACCCCAUAGUACCUGUACUGGCUGGUUUUAUGUGUCAACUUGACACAGACUGGGGUUAUCACAGAGAAAGGAGCUUCAGUUGGGGAAGUACCUCCAUGAAAUCCAGCUGUGGGGUAUUUUCUUAAUUAGUGAUCAUGGGGGAAAGGCCCUUUGUGGGUGGGACCAUCUCUGGGCUGGCAGUCUUGGGUUCUAUAAGAGAGCAGGCUGAGCAAGCCAGGGGAAGCAAGCCAGUAAUGAACAUCCUUCCAUGGCCUCUGCAUCAGCUCCUGCUUUCUGACCUGCUUGAGUUCCAGUCCUGACUUCCUUGGUGAUGAACAGCAGUAUGGAAGUGUAAGCCGAAUAAACCCUUCCUCCCCAACUUGCUUCUUGCAUGAUGUUUGUGCAGGAAUAGAAACCCUGACUAAGACAGUACCUUCCCCAAAAUAAUAUUGAAAUAAUCCCAUGCAUCCUAUCAAAUCAACACCAACUAAGGCUCGACUUCAAUAACAACAAAAAUAACAGAAAACCCACAUACUAUGGAAACUGAACAACUCUAUAAUCAAUGAUAACUUGGUCAGGGAAGACAUAAAGAAAAAAAAUUAAAGACUUCCUGGAAUUCAAUGAAAAUGAGGACACAGCAUACCCAAACUUAUAGGGCACAGUGAAAGCAGUGCUAAGUGGAAAACUCAUAGGGCUAAGUGCCCUAGUAAAGAGAUUGGAGAGAUACUACAAUAGCAAUUUAACAGCACAUCUGAAAGCCCUAGAACAAAAAGAAGCAAGCACAUCCAAGAGGAGUAGACUGCAAGAAAUAAUCAAACUCAGGGCCCAAAUUAACCAAAUAGAAACAGAGAGACCAAUACAAAGAAUCAACAAAACCAAAAGCUGUUUCUACUGCAAAAGCCUCUACUCAACAAAACUGGAAAAUCUAGAUGAAGCGAAUGAUUUUCUAGACAGAUGCCAGGUACCAAAGUUAAAUCAAGAUCAAGCAAACCAUCUAAACAGUCCCGUAUCCCCUAAGGAAAUAGAAGUCAUUAAAAAUCUCCCAACC